ensembl:snoRNA small nucleolar RNA, C/D box 48
AGGGGCAAUGACUCCAGGUGACUCUGGUGUCUCGCUGAUGCCAUCACCACAGUGUGCUGACA